AGCGUUGCUCGGAUUUACUGGGCGUAAAGGGCGCGUAGGCGGCCGAUCAAGUCAGGCGUGAAAUUCCCGGGCUCAACCUGGGGGCUGCGCUUGAGACUGGUUGGCUAGAGGCCGAGAGAGGGUGGUGGAAUUCCCAGUGUAGAGGUGAAAUUCGUAGAUAUUGGGAAGAACACCGGUGGCGAAGGCGGCCACCUGGCUCGGUACUGACGCUGAUGCGCGAAAGCGUGGGGAGCAAACAGG
rnacentral:rRNA from 1 species